rnacentral:lncRNA from 1 species
AAGAUUCCUAUUUGGAGGAAGAAUAUCCCCAGAUUUAUAAAUGUCUAGCCCUGAAAAUGCUUAGCAACUGCAUGUAAUCUGCAUUUUUAUCCUGCAAAGAGUUGUGACCCUUUUCAGAACACAUCAGCAGAAUUAAAAGGGCCGAGGGGGAGUUUUCACUUGCUUUCUGAUGGCAAGGUAGGACUUUCAUGUAUGUCUGACUAGUUUAAGGAAUGACUGCUUGGUAAUGGAGGAGUGGAUAAAAAAUAUUAAAGAAAAGUUCACACAGUAUGGGAAAUAUAUUACGCUGUUGCUCUGAAAA